rnacentral:rRNA from 1 species
GGGAGGAAUAUUGCCCAAUGGGCGCAAGCCAGAGGCAGCAACGCCGCGUGCGCGAAGAAGGCCUUCGGGUCGUAAAGCGCUUUUCCAAGGGAUGAGCAAGGACAGUACUUUGGGAAUAAGUCUCGGCUAACUACGUGCCAGCAGCCGCGGUAAAACGUAGGAGGCGAGCGUUAUCCGGAUUCACUGGGCGUAAAGGGCAAGUAGGCGGUUGUACAAGUUGGGCGUGACAGGUCCCGGCUUAACUGGGAAGGGUCGCCCAAGACUGUGCGACUAGGGGGCAGGAGAGGGGAGCGGAAUUCCUAGUGUAGCGGUGGAAUGCUCAGAGACUAGGAGGAACACCAGUGGCGAAAGCGGCUCUCUGGCCUGUACCCGACGCUGAGAGGCGAAAGCUAGGGGAGCAAACGGGCUUAGAAACCCCAGUAGUCC